GCAAGUCGAACGAAGUAGCAAUACUUAGUGGCAGACGGGUGAGUAACAUGUGGGUAUCUACCCUUUGGCCUGGAAUAACACGAGGAAACUUGUGCUAAUACCGGAUAAGUCUUUACGGAGAAAGCUUUAUGCACCAUUGGAUGAGCCUGCACUUGAUUAGUUUGUUGGUAGGGUAAUGGCCUACCAAGACUAUGAUCAAUAGCUGAUUUGAGAGGAUGAUCAGCCACAUUGGGACUGAGACACGGCCCAAACUCCUACGGGAGGCAGCAGUGGGGAAUCUUGCACAAUGGAGGAAACUCUGAUGCAGCGAUGCCGCGUGAGUGAAGAAGGCCCUUGGGUUGUAAAGCUCUUUCGUCGGGGAAGAAAAUGACUGUACCCGAAUAAGAAGGUCCGGCUAACUUCGUGCCAGCAGCCGCGGUAAUACGAAGGGACCUAGCGUAGUUCGGAAUUACUGGGCUUAAAGAGUUCGUAGGUGGUUGAAAAAGUUGGUGGUGAAAUCCCAGAGCUUAACUCUGGAACUGCCAUCAAAACUUUUCAGCUAGAGUAUGAUAGAGGAAAGCAGAAUUUCUAGUGUAGAGGUGAAAUUCGUAGAUAUUAGAAAGAAUACCAAUUGCGAAGGCAGCUUUCUGGAUCAUUACUGACACUGAGGAACGAAAGCAUGGGUAGCGAAGAGGAUUAGAUACCCUCGUAGUCCAUGCCGUAAACGAUGUGUGUUAGACGUUGGAAAUUUAUUUUCAGAGUCGCAACGAAAGCGAUAAACACACCGCCUGGGGAGUACGACCGCAAGGUUAAAACUCAAAUGAAUUGACGGGGACCCGCACAAGUAGUGGAGCAUGUGGUU
rnacentral:rRNA from 1 species